rnacentral:rRNA from 1 species
GACGAACGCUGGCGGCGUGCUUAACACAUGCAAGUCGAACGGAAAGGCCCUGCUUUUGUGGGGUGCUCGAGUGGCGAACGGGUGAGUAACACGUGAGUAACCUGCCCUUGACUUUGGGAUAACUUCAGGAAACUGGGGCUAAUACCGGAUAGGAGCUCCUGCUGCACGGUGGGGGUUGGAAAGUUUCGGCGGUUGGGGAUGGACUCGCGGCUUAUCAGCUUGUUGGUGGGGUAGGGGUUUACCAAGGCUUUGACGGGUAGCCGGCCUGAGAGGGUGAACGGCCACAUUGGGACUGAGAUACGGACCAGACUCCUACGGGAGGCAGCAGUGGGGAAUAUUGCACAAUGGGCCGAAGCCUGAUGCAGAAACGCCGCGUGCGGGAUGACGGCCUUCGGGUUGAAAACCGCUUUCGCCUGUGACGAAGCGUGAGUGACGGUAAUGGGUAAAGAAGCACCGGCUAACUACGUG